AUUUUUUUUAGGCUCGCAUACAACGCUACAAAAGGAGCUACAGGGUGUCCUAUAGGUGUUCAAGUGAUUGGUCGGCACUAUCAGGAGGAACUAGUGAUCCAUGGAAUGGAGAUCAUUGAAGAUCUUAUGAAAUAUGAUCGCUCUUGUAAGAUAUAGGAUUUACUGGAGAUCAUUGAAGAUCUUUAUAAAUUAUGAUCGCUUUUGUGAAAUAUAGGAUUAUACUGGAGAUCAUUGAAGAUCUUUAUAAAUUA